rnacentral:precursor_RNA from 9 species
UAACAGCGGCGGGUAAGGGAGGGCCAGAUGUUGCGUAGGCGUUGUGCAUAGCUUUCAGACGACGUUAUGCAUCUCAUCUGCGCAUCCUCGGUGUUCCCCGGGACUUCCACGAAGGCU